UGGAGCAUGUGGUUUAAUUCGAUGCAACGCGAAGAACCUUACCUGGUCUUGACAUCCACAGAACUUGGCAGAGAUGCCUUGGUGCCUUCGGGAACUGUGAGACAGGUGCUGCAUGGCUGUCGUCAGCUCGUGUUGUGAAAUGUGGGUUAAGUCCCGCAACGAGCGCAACCCUUAUCCUUUGUUGCCAGCGGUCCGGCCGGGAACUCAAAGGAGACUGCCAGUGAUAAACUGGAGGAAGGUGGGGAUGACGUCAAGUCAUCAUGGCCCUUACGACCAGGGCUACACACGUGCUACAAUGGCAUAUACAAAGAGAAGCGACCUCGCGAGAGCAAGCGGACCUCAUAAAGUAUGUCGUAGUCCGGAUUGGAGUCUGCAACUCGACUCCAUGAAGUCGGAAUCGCUAGUAAUCGUGGAUCAGAAUGCCACGGUGAAUACGUUCCCGGGCCUU
rnacentral:rRNA from 1 species